AGAUAAUUGCUAUGGUAAAUCCGGAGGUAGAUAUUUACAAUUUAAUGUUGUGUUGUAAAAUUCCAUUUUUUUAACUAUUCGUACGUCUUACUUAAUGGACUACUGUGCGUUUAGCUAAUAAUACUAUGUAAAGGUACACCUAAUACCUAUGUUUACUUAGUUAGGUGUGUUAUGUGAUGUUUUUCUAAUAAAGUACCGAAUCACGCACAUUGCAAACAGCAUAGAUAUUUACUCUACAAGGCACUAAAAAGCAUACCUACUGGACCUACUGCAAUAAUUUAUAAUAUGUAUAUAUUCUCGAUAGGAUGUACGAAAUUCGCUAAACUUAGCCUAUAGUCUGGUUUUAAGGGAUUCAAUUUUUAAAAUGCACGGUUUAUAUCUACCUUGUGCACUACAAGAAAAUUUCUAUCACUCGCUUAGGUACUAAUAUAAAACUAGUCUAGUAACAUUAAAUCGUUUUCAGUUUAAACUAAUUUUAACUAAACUGUUCUGACUGAAAGGCUUUGUUACAACUAGCCUUUCUUAAUCAGAAUUAGUUCUUAAUAAUUAAAACUAUCUACCUACUUAGUUUAAAUUUUAAACUGAAAACGAUUUAUAACUUAUUAUCAUGCUGCACAUAGACUUUACAAAAUAUAGAACAUUUUUUAUUUACGCAAUUUAAUACACAUAAAAUUGAGUUCGUUUGCGAUAAAAUUGUUAUUGCUCAUGCAUACUAUUAAUGCAAGCCUACGAUCAAUGCCUUCUAAAUUAUUAAUUUUUGAUAUAUAAAAUAGAU